UAUAACCUUAGUGAGAGUGAAAUGAACACUACUGUCUAGUGACUGGUCUAUGCGACCUUGAAGUUUACUUUAAGCCAGCAAGCUCCCUAAUAAAGCGGCUAAGCCUUUAACCACGCUCUAUACGGUGUCGUAGUGAUAGCAAAGUGUUCGUUGAACAACCGUUUCGUAGUUCUUUUUCAGAUUUUCUUCUUCUCCUCCUCGUCAUCUUCGGGUUCGAAUUUUUGUAACUGAGAAUAAAUAAUCUGCAAAUAAUUUCGCGAGGAGAAAAAACAGAGAGAGAAAUCUACUGAAUAGUGAUCAGUGAUAAGUGAUCGGAGAAGACUAGUUUAAUGGCCAGCUCGGCCGCGGUCGCCGGCGUUCUAUCGGCGCACGAUCGCCAGAUUCUGACAGCUGUGAAUACCGGAGCCUCCAGCCUGUCGUUUGUGGGUUCAGGCUUCAUCGUGCUCUGCUACGUUCUCUUCAAGGAACUUCGCAAGUUUUCUUUCAAGCUCGUUUUCUACCUUGCCCUCUCCGAUAUGCUUUGCAGUUUCUUCAGCAUAGUAGGGGACCCAGCCAAAGGUUUCUUCUGCUAUGCUCAAGGCUAUAGCACGCAUUUCUUUUGUGUGGCGUCUUUCCUGUGGACUACAACAAUUGCUUUUACUCUUCAUCGAACUGUAGUUAGGCACAAAGCUGAUGUUGAAGAAUUGGAGGCAAUCUUUCACCUGUAUGUAUGGGGUACUUCGCUGGUUAUGACAGUGAUCCGCUCCUUUGGUAAUGACCAUAGACAUUUCGGCAUAUGGUGUUGGACUCAAACAGGCCGCACAGGGAAGGCAGUUCAUUUUGUAACAUUUUACACACCUCUCUGGGGUGCAAUUUUAUACAACGGGUUUACAUACUUUCAAGUAAUACGCAUGCUGAAUAACGCAACCCGUAUGGCAGUUGGUAUCUCAGACCGAGUUUAUGUUCCAGAUGCAAGAGAUAACAUGAAGUCUCUGAAUCGAUGGGGAUACUAUCCAGUGAUUCUAAUUGGAUCAUGGGCAUUUGGCACUAUUAACCUUAUUCAUGAUUUUAUUGAGCCUGGCCAUAAGAUAUUUUGGCUGUCAUUUCUUGACGUCGGAAUGGCUGCCCUUAUGGGCCUCUUCAACUCAAUUGCAUAUGGCCUCAAUUCUUCAGUUCGUCGUGCAAUUUGUGAAAGAAUGGACAUGUAAGUCCUUAGCAUUUUUGCAUUGUACGCAUGAUUCUCAAGGCCUGUCUAGAUGGGUUAUCCUCGUCAUUUGUUCUGGUUCUUACCAGAGAGAGUCUGCAGAUGGCUGCCAAACAAUUUCAAGUACAGGAACCAGCAGCAAGAAAAUGAACUGGUCUCCUUAAAAUUUGAAGAUAAAUAACCAUGAACAGAUAUAUUGUGAUCCCCAAUACCAUAUUUCGACAUGUAAAUAUGCUGAAAUGCUGUUUUCAUCAACAGCAGAGGAUCUGCUGGCACUUGGCAGCAGUCAUUCCAGGCUGUGUUGCUGAAUCGUGGCAUUCACAUAGAUUUUAUAGUGCCAAGGAUCCUUCUCAAAGAAACCAGUGGAUGCUCCAGUUCAUUCAAUCAGUCGAUCUCUCUGCUUAACAGCCAUCAUUAUUAUGCUUAUAUUGAAGAUCCGUUGCUGUGGCUUUGGCAAGUGCACUUAUUCAGAAAAGGCUCAGUGAGUCUCUGAUUCAUCGUGGACAAGUUUUAACUUCGAGCAUUGUUGCAUAUUCUUGUAUUUCUUCCUAGUUUUGGGAAUUAGAUAUACUAAAAAUUCCAGUUCUAUAGUUGAUGCAUUUUUAAAAUAGCAUAACAUUUUGUCUUCUCAAAAUUUGCCUAGUCUUUUAGUUCUCUGCCAGUAAGUACAAUGCUUAGUCUUUUAUAUUUCUUCCAUUGUUUCAGUUUUUAACAUAUUCCCAUUUUAAUUUAUUAUGGGGAAAGAACCACCCUUUUAACAUUUUUAGAACAUCAUUUGCCGAUGAACUCAUGAAGUAACUCAUAAAAGAUGUUUCAUUAAUUCGC